rnacentral:rRNA from 1 species
UACAGAGGUCUCAAGCGUUGUUCGGAUUCAUUGGGCGUAAAGGGUGCGUAGGCGGCGCGGUAAGUCGGGUGUGAAAUCUCGGGGCUUAACUCCGAAACUGCAUUCGAUACUGCCGUGCUUGAGGACUGGAGAGGAGACUGGAAUUUACGGUGUAGCGGUGAAAUGCGUAGAUAUCGUAAGGAAGACCAGUGGCGAAGGCGGGUCUCUGGACAGUUCCUGACGCUGGAGACGCGAAAGCGUGGGGAGCAAACAGG